rnacentral:misc_RNA from 1 species
AAGUCGUAACAAGGUUUCCGUAGGUGAACCUGCGGAAGGAUCAUUUCCAAAAAGUGCAAAUCUAAGAUAUACACCUUGUGGUGUGUGAAAAGUAACAAGUCUCUAAUUACUCUCGAAGAAGAAGUGGAAGGGUGGAUAUAUAGUAGUACUUUAGUGUACUCUCUAUAUAUACACACGGACACAAUAUUCUAAGAGAGGCCUUGAUGAACCCACAUCUUUGAGGGUGAAGCUAUGAGUCAAAUACUCUCUUCAAGAGUGGUAUUUUUCCAUUGCCAACCUUAGAAGACGUUAACAGAAUAAAGUCUCAGAUGUAUUUUUCUCAAAAGGUAUGCUGGCCAUACCAACAAAAAGCAAAAUAUAUUGACAACUUUUAACGGUGGAUCUCUUGGCUCGU